AGCGAACGCUGGCGGCAGGCCUAACACAUGCAAGUCGAACGAACCUUUCGGGGUUAGUGGCGGACGGGUGAGUAACACGUGGGAACGUGCCUUUAGGUUCGGUACAACUCAGGGAAACAUGUGCUAAUACCGAAUGUGCCCUUCGGGGGAAAGAUUAAUCGCCUUUAGAGCGGCCCGCGUCUGAUUAGCUAGUUGGUUGAGGUAAUGGCUCACCAAGGCGACGAUCAGUAGCUGGUCUGAGAGGAUGAUCAGCCACAUUGGGACUGAGACACGGCCCAAACUCCUACGGGAGGCAGCGGUGGAGAGUCUUGCGCAAUGGGCGAAAGCCUGACGCAGCCAUGCCGCGUGAAUGAUGAAGGUCUUAGUAUUGUAAAAUUCUUUCACCGGGGACGAUAAUGACGGUACCCGGAGAAGAAGCCCCGGCUAACUUCGUG
rnacentral:rRNA from 1 species